rnacentral:rRNA from 1 species
UGCGUAGGCGGAAUAUUAAGUCAGUGGUGAAAUCCUGCGGCUCAACCGUAGAACCGCCAUUGAUACUGAUAUUCUUGAAUGUAGUUGAGGUAGGCGGAAUGUGUAAUGUAGCGGUGAAAUGCUUAGAUAUUACACAGAACACCGAUUGCGAAGGCAGCUUACUAAACUAUGAUUGACGCUGAGGCACGAAAGCGUGGGGAGCGAACAGGAUUAGAUACCCUGGUAGUCC